GCUCUUUUUAGUUUAAGUUAAUCAUUUAUUUUUUUUUUUUUUUUUUGAGGUUUUAAGUUACCGCUCUACCCUUAGGUAAGGCACUCUCAAGGGGGAAAUCGCCACGUCGUAAUAUGUAACUUGGUUACAGCUUUGCUCCAAUACUUACCUGGCGUAGAGGUUAUGUUCCCCACGUGCUUGGAAAAAUUAUUUAAAUAAUUCAGUAAAUUUCAAUCUCCAGCUGAUGACCAGGGCUGGCCGAAAGCAAGUUAAUCAUUUAAAUUUGCAUGCCACUUUCAGCUUUGUUUACCUAAAAUUGGGGAUGCCACCUCGGGCAAAAGAAAAAUAGAAUCCGUGUGUAUUUUUUUUUUUGAAUGUUAGUAUUUUUAUGUUAGUAUUUAUUUAUUCCGCAAGGUGAAUGUCAAUCGAGGUAUAAAAAUGUUUUAGGAAUU
rnacentral:lncRNA from 1 species